UACAGAGGGUGCGAGCGUUAAUCGGAAUUACUGGGCGUAAAGCGUGCGCAGGCGGUUUUGUAAGUCUGACGUGAAAUCCCCGGGCUCAACCUGGGAAUUGCGUUGGAGACUGCAAGGCUGGAGUCUGGCAGAGGGGGGUAGAAUUCCACGUGUAGCAGUGAAAUGCGUAGAGAUGUGGAGGAACACCGAUGGCGAAGGCAGCCCCCUGGGUCAAGACUGACGCUCAUGCACGAAAGGCGUGGGGAGCAAACAGG
rnacentral:rRNA from 1 species